ACGCGAACGCGGUAGUGGCGGCGUUCGGUGGCGGUAGCGCGCGGGCCGAUCGUAGCGCUCACAAGCGGGGAAUCCGGAAGUUUCUGGAAUCUGGCAACAUCGCUCGCGGCUUUCUCUUUGCGAGGGUGUUCUCCAACGUAGCUGGUCACUGGAGAAUGUUUCUAUCGAAAGCCAGCCGCUACGCCUUCAGGAUUUCCCACAAUGUCUACUUUGACAACCAGCUGAAAACGGGAAAGGACCGUGUCGUGUCAUCGUCGGCAUUUGCACUGUCGACUGUGGGCAUUCUGCUGUCUGCCUUCGGCCUUCGACAGAUGGGUCACAACCAGAAAUGGAUCGAGCGCGGCUGACGACACUGACAUGACUCUAGUCUAAACAAUUUUCCCUCCCCACCCUUAGGCGAUGCAGCCCUUCCCCUGCACGUUGCUUCAGCAGUGGAGCUAAGCAUGAAUUAUUACGCCAUCAUCUCAUUGACUGUCAAGGACUUCUUGUGCUCGCUGUUGUAGCAUCUAUUGCAUCAAAGUAUCCAACGUGCUGUAUUGUUGACCGAAAUGAUCUGUUCAAACGUUACAAUCAGUAAUGUUAGAUUUAUGUCAAAUAAACCCUCGUCUCUCAAGUUAA